GUUGUAGCUCAGCAGUAGAGUGCUCGCCUAGCACAUGCGAGGCCCUGGGUUCGAUCCUCAGCACACA
rnacentral:tRNA from 1 species